AAAAUAAAAUCAUAUGACCAAGGGUCAUUCCACUACUCUCUUCCUCUCAUUCCCGUACAACCCUCAAGAAACAAAAAAAAAUGAAGAACACCAUUCUCUAAUAGUGGUUAGGAAGCAAGAAAAUCGGAAAAGAAGUGCUAGAGCAGCCCCGAAUUGGUGAAGAAUCUAAACAUGAGAAGGCCAUCAAAUUGAAGUAUAGGAGAAGAUCUAUUGAAGUCAACUAGGGAUUAAGGUACACAAGAGGUACUACUAAUGUUUUCAUGUUUUAAUUGGUGUGAGAUCAUGAGAUGAGUAAUUUUUUGUUACAUGCAUGUGUGAUUUGAUGACUUAAACUAUGUUUUUCUCAAGUUUGUUGAACAAUCUAUUGGCGAUUUGAAUUUAUGGAAUGAGUUAUGAUGUUGUAAUGAGAUUUAUGGAGUUGUUGAUUGUUGGGUAGAUUGUUAAAUGUUUUAAUUCGUUUUUUUAGUUCUAAUUCCAAUCCUGUAACUUGCUGGACCAGUUCUUUUA